rnacentral:pre_miRNA from 1 species
GGAGGGAGGUAGGAUCCUGGGCUGUGUCCCCGGCGCCCUGUGCUCCGAGGCCUGUGCUGUUGGAUUUGUGCUCCCAGUCGCGCAGCCCCCU